rnacentral:rRNA from 1 species
UACGGAGGGAGCUAGCGUUGUUCGGAAUUACUGGGCGUAAAGCGCACGUAGGCGGCUUUGUAAGUUAGAGGUGAAAGCCCGGGGCUCAACUCCGGAACUGCCUUUAAGACUGCAUCGCUUGAAUCCAGGAGAGGUGAGUGGAAUUCCGAGUGUAGAGGUGAAAUUCGUAGAUAUUCGGAAGAACACCAGUGGCGAAGGCGGCUCACUGGACUGGUAUUGACGCUGAGGUGCGAAAGCGUGGGGGAGCAAACAGG